CAAGAAGUAGUUUAAUUAGAAUAUCAGCUUUGGGUGCUGAUGGUGGGGAAUAGGUUCCUUCUUCCUUGA
rnacentral:tRNA from 1 species